CAUAAGGAAAUGAACCAAUCAAAUUCCUUAUGCAUCUGUUUAUGCGCUUAUGCAAAAGUCUGUGCUCCUGCCUUAAAUCGCCAUAUCAUCAUCACGGAGAUCCAUUUAAGGACCAUCACACGACAAUCACAGACACUGAUCGAUAACUGAAUCGCAUGAUGAUGCUAGAAGACGCAGCUCUGAAACGGAUUAUUAUUCAUAUUCUAAUUAUAGACAAUCUGUAGAUUCGCGAGAGACAAGAGUUAUUUAACUCGAGUCGUUUUAAGCAGGAUCUUGGGAUGGCCCGACGCGUUCCUGCGGAAUGUCGAAAGCGUAUAAUUCUACUCGAGCUACUCGAGAUGCAUCGGUACUGUUGACGGUCGAACCGACCUUUUAGCUGCUCGUCGGACAAACAAGCCGUCCGACUUACAGCACGAUCGAAGCGAGACGGAAAUAUAUGCGCGAGAAUCGGACCGAGGGUCGGAGAGGAAAAGAGAAAAAGAGAGACACCAGACGGAGAAUACGAAGCAGCGAAAGAAAGAAGGAGGGAGAGUGAGUCAGAUAGUCGAGGUGGACGGCGGCAGAGGGAACGACAGAGGGCAUCCGCUAGAGAACGCGAGAGGGAGAGCAAAUAAUAGAAAGAGGGCGAGGCGGUCACUUGUUGCGAUCCUGUUAGUUCACCUCUUCGCCAGCCACCUCCUCCUCGUCUUUGCUCCGUUCAUCGUGCAGGUCGGUUUCUCUGUGCGUCGAGACACCACGUCGCGUCGCGUCGUGUCCGCAACAAGAGUGGCGGCGCUAGACGACCGACGGAGGGCACACGUUUGUUCCAUGGGGUGUGCCCGUUGCAUACACCAUACAGCUACGUGCGACGCAGUCCUCGCAGCGUGACAAACUCGAGCAAGCAGAGACACGUGUUGCCAUUGCAAAGAGACUUUAGAUUCCUAUUCCCGAUGUAUAACAUCAUGCGCGAUGGAUUAUAUAACAGGCGACAAACUACACUUGAUAAGUAUUUCGGUACUAUACUCGUUAUCGAUGAUUAAUCCAUAAUCUGAUAUAUUGUUUAGCUGCAACAUGCUUAGGAUCAAUAGCACACGCGGUUACGCUACCAUGAAUUUCAUCGUGUGUUCCAACCUUGUUUAAUAUCCAAGAUAGACGAGCUUUCAGCAGUUUUGCAGAGACACGUUUAAUUAUAUAAUAUUAUACAUAUAACGCUCAUUUAAUGGUGAAUGAUGCUUCUUACUUUAGCAUAAUUACAACAUAUUCAUGGAAGAUAAUUACAUGUAAUAAUAUUAAGCCGAUUUUCUAAUAGAUUUCAAAGCCGUAAGACGACGGUUACAUAAUGACUUUUUUUUAUUAACAAGCUAUUCUCCCGUGAGUUAAACGAAUGAGCAAGCAACAAACGCAUAUGACAGGCGGCAUGAAAUAUAUGUGUCACUCGUAUGAAAUAUAUGUGCCUCGUCUAUCAAACGUUUCUAAUGGCUAAGAUUAUUUCGUUCUCGUGCUGCUUCCGUCUCAAUAUGACACGAAUGAACGUGCGAUGAGUACGAUUUAGCAGCGUUCGUACAACGACUGCUAAAGUAGGAUGCCCGCGAGCGGUUUGUUUAACGAUUUAUAACAUGUACACGAUACAGUGCGAAUUACGUAACACGAUAAAAUCACAAAGAUACACGGGAGGAUGUGCUAUCGCGUUACUCGUUUCAAUAUUUCUGUAGCUCGCGCUUGACACAGGCUUUUAAACAAAAUUUCUGUAGUCUUUAUCCAAAUGGAUAAAACGGAUAAUACGAUUCGCCAUUUCACAUCAAAGCGAAAUCAACAAGGCGUGCACUAACAUGUAUAUUGCAGGAUCUUGGUGAAUUCGACUGUUUUAUGAAAAAUAUCUGGCAAUUUAUAUGUAGAUUAAACAUUUCAUCAAUGAAAGAAUUGACAGUUUACGAUUGAGAGUGAUAAUCUCAGUUGUCCCAAUUCUAAAUGGCCACUUUGCGAUCUCACGCACUGCCACAACAAAAAUAUACAAAUGUUUGAUGUACGUAUAUGUAUCAUUGGUGCUUUCUCUUCAGUUUGUUGCUACAGCAGAGAGAGAGAGAGAGAGAGAGAGAGAGAGAGAGAGAGAGAGAGAGAGAGAGAGAGAGCGUGUGUGUGUGUGAGUGUCAACACAACCUUCCUAACCAACCCUCUUCCUAGCACAGUGGCAACACAGCCCCGACCCUCUACUCUAUCCUAAAGUUACAUCACACUGUAACUAUAGGCGCGCUGCUAUCAUUGAAUCAAUAAAUACCUGCCUGGUUGUGUUGGGGACACUUGGCGGGUCAAGCUCGGCUCUCCGGGCUCUCGAGAGUGCCUAACGAUACGAUAACCGCUUAACCCUUUAACCGCCAUUGCAUCGGAAAAGUGUCUAGCGAUGCGCGCUCUGAGGCCUUUUACGAGUUGUUGAUUAAAUGACGCUUGAGAGCCAGCGUCGUUUGACAAACUGCAAAAUGGUUAAUACGACACGUCAAUAUCGGACUUUAAAAGCAGAAGCCGAUAAAAAAAGAAGAAAUCAAUUUUUAUUUUUCUCAAAAUGUAUUUUUUCGCAAUUGUCUAGCGUAACAGGAGUUCGAGUUACCUUGCGGACAAAUUAUCUUGAGCAUUCGGCGUAUUACCACACUGUGAUAUGAUGUCGAGUGGUCGCGCAUAAAUUGAAACUGCCAAGCUUUUAUGUCACCCAGCAAUAUGUGCCAGAUGCAUUAGGCGCGUUCGCGUAAUCGAUAGACGGGUUUCGUAAUUGCGCAAGGAACGUUUUACAUAACGAAUCAGAUUUUUAUCGUCUCGUAAUGCGUCGCGACGUAUAUCCCGGUGUUUAUUCAACUUACUUCUUUUUCAUUCUCUUUUUCCUUUUGUUUGUUGCAAUUACAUAUUCAAUUGCCGUGAACAUUAAAAUCUAUAUCGUAAAGCCGUAUAUUCACGCGAAUAAUUUACACUGAUCUUUAUUAAUUGGACAUUUUAUUUAAUAAUGUAUAAGAUAUCUUUCUUGAUGACGAAAUGUGGAUAUAUAUCUGCUUCCAAUAUUUGCUAGUGAGCAAACAACGAUUUGAGGAUCACUGCCAAACCAGCACCCUCAGUACGGUGAACCCUCGCUUUCUUUCUUCUAUCAUCCCCUCGUACGCUGCCUUAUCCAGCGGCAGGAUACUACGAAAUCAAGCUGCGGCAUUUGCUACCAUGUGAAUCGUGUACGAAGCUGUCCAACCCUACCUGGGCAUAAAACACUGCCACAGACACCAUAUGGUUAUGAGCGUGGCUUUUGUAUGGUGGUUUAACCUCGUUUUGCCAACUUUAAGACCGCCUAUCGCAGGAAACGACGUCGCGAGCAGGCACGUAAAAAUCGAGGACUGGGUCAAUGAUCAUUUUCGUUGUUGCUGUGACAUACGCGAUUUAUCGAACAGUAGACUCAAUUCGGCGCGUAUCAUAAUUGAAAAAUUAUCGUUAUGUUGCAUAAUCACAUCAUAUUAUAUAAUAUAACGCAUAUCCAACAAAUAAUUCUUGGAAAUACGUCUUAAAAUGUAUCGCAAACGGCCAAAGUAUCCUUUAGGAGUACUGCAUAAGAGAAACGCCAAAAAGCGCAGAUAAGAUCGCGAGAGAGACGGUUCUUAGUCAAUGACUUAUGUCUUAUUCUGCAUUUUUCUCACGGAUUUCCAGAGACAAUCGAGCAGACUUGGGCAAUCAGUGAAUGGAUCAUGCAAGAUGUCGAGUAACGAAGUUGACGAAAUCGUUCAUAUAGCAGAGAAACAGCAAUGUAAGAAAAGUGACGGCACUUAAUGAAAUAAUUUCAUCGAUCUCGAUUCUACGCACGCUGGACAGAUGAUUCGCGAGUGAACCGAAGGUAGAAUUGCGAGUUUAUAAUCAAGUAUGGACAACUACUCGGACACACGAAAUUAGUUCAGAGAAGGAGAUCAUAUGGAAAUUCUCUGAUAGUCUCAUUAACGCAAAACAACGUAACAUGUAAAUCGAGUAAAUCUUACGUCUAAUAACAUCCGCCAUUCCUGAAACGGCCAUUGACUUAAAAAACGACGAAUUGCCAUAUAUAACGUCACAUCGAUGAAUCAGACAUGUGAUAAUGGGUAGCAUUAUAUGUUGCAGUCAAGUUAAUGCUUAGUUAAUGAGAGUUUUUGACAAGUUGAACUUUGACACCAAAGUCAAACCGAAGAAUUACAAUUUCCUAAUCAAAUGCCAACAGACGUUUACUUUAUCGUGGUAUUAUCCUCAUUAUUAUAUUAAUUGAUUUUUUUGGUGUGUGUACUAGCUCCUCUGUUAUCCUACACAACAGAGCGCGGAACAAACAGAUCCAAAUACCAUUACACUUACAAUUUCGAGGAUUAAUCAAGAAAAGUAAAUGUAUUCAUUAUUUUAUCUACAGCUUGUUCGAAAAUCACCAGGAACAUGAUUCAACUCAUCUUCCGCCUGCAUUACCGUAAGAUGCAGUUGAAAACCGCUGCAGAACACUCAGCUGGAGCUCUGACACGAGGUACUUCGCCGAGAAGAAAAGAGACGACGAGACGGCAACAGCGCGGCGCUCGACGGACGGGUGGCACCGCUUCCACGCGCGCGCACGCGAGCGAGGAAAAACAAGGAUAAAAGAGAAAGAAAAGGAGCAAGAGAGAAGGAAAUGCGUUGAGUGAGAGAGAGAGAGGCACAUGUACGCAACGUGCGUAUAUUCGUGUAUUCGUGUAUUCGAGACGAGGGAGAAGGGGAGGGAGGAAAAGAGAGAGAGAGAGAGAGAGAGAGAGAGAGAGAGAGAGAGAGAGAGAGAGAGAGAGAGAGAGCCCAUAUGUUCUCACGCAACAGAGAGAAACGGAGAAAUGCACAGGAGAGUGCAUUGCGUGAAAUGUACCGCGCACGUACGCAUCCGCACGCACCCACACACGCGCACGCGUAUCCUCAGUGAAUCUCUCUUCUGCAACCUCCCCUCCUUCGCACGUUCCACAUCUCCACGCGCGAUUUUGUAGCAAUUGGUAAACCAUCCGACGACACGUACGAGUCGCAUCUGGCUCGGAUGCGUUUACGCGACUUCUAUACGCGUCUAGUCGUCGCGAGAGAAUUCGGCGCCAGGAAGCCGAGUAGAAUGACGAUGCACGCACGAGGGACAUUUUUCGAAAUGUAUAUAUCUUUCACGAUAUUAUUUGGUUAUUGCAUAGUUAUUUAAAGAUGUAUCUUUACAAUUAUACGCUUAAAUAUUAAUAUUUGAAUAAAGCCAGUGCACGUAGGCGCACCUUUUGCACGGAUCUUUGUUAUACCGCUCGUCCACAAAGAGCGGAGAAAGUUUCUCGUGCGAGUCACGCAAAAGCGCGGGGGAAUCGCUGAAGACGACGGAUGUGCAACGCACGUUGCACAACAUCCGUUUUUACCAAAGUCGUCGAUUAUUUAAAAAAAGGAAGGAAACUGCGGGCACCGUGAUUAUAUUACGACGAAACCGAAGGGUUAUUCAUUAAACUAUCAACCAUUUUCGUGCCAAAGUAAUAAGAGUUGUAAUUUUACGCCGAGUAACCUGGUUUGAUUCCACUUGACAAAAGGAGGGUGUGUAUGCAUAUAUGCGAAUAAAUAUAACUAAAGAUCGCAACGAAUUAUCAUAUGUACUUUUACGCAUUGCCCGAUCCCGAUUUUUUCUCUUCUUGUGGCAAAAAUGGAAAAACAGUUGUCACUGAUGAAUGAUCGUGACCUGAUUAUUUAGAAACAGGAGACAGGUGCCAGAUUCUUAAAAUCCAGAUAUACAUGAAAUAUGCAUGUCAUGUUAUCUUAAAACUGUAAUGAGUCGUUGGGGAGUGAGUUAUCAGUUUUUCUUUCGGACAAGAUUAGUAUAUGUACAAAUUGAUUGUUCUAUAACGGAAGUGUCACGAACCGAUAUUAAUACCUGAAUUAUUUUCUAAAGUGUUAGUCAUGUAAGAGUAGAGCGAAACAGGGAGUCUCUUAUUUAUCAUUCAAACGAUAGUUUUGUAAUCCGUGGUGCAUGACUGUUUCUCGAUCUGCAUGCGAAAUUAUUAAUAUUGUCGAUAAAUGCUCAGCGUAAACGUGAGCAUGAUUCGCGCAUGGAUCGACGAUCAUUUUCACCUCGUAUGUACGAUCGUCUAACUCGACCAGCGAUACGUUUAAAAUUUCAUGACGGUUAAUAAACUUUACGCAGACACACAUAUGUUAAUAUUACCGAAUCGUUUCAUCGCACUUUGUAAUUAUGUAUGUGAAUUUGGAAACAACAAAUUGAUGAAUGCGAUGAUCCUACUGUCUGUAAUGAUUCGGUAAGUAAAUUGCUUUAAUUUGUGUCCAAUUUCAUUUAAGGAAAAAACUUUGUUAAUUGAUAAUUAAAUUUGAAAUCUCCUUUCCUUCCUUUAGGUUUCCUUGUGUUUUCAGAAUAACGUUACGAAAUAGCAAUUAUUAUAAUUGCCUAAUCAACUUACGAAACAUUUCGCACAAACUGCAUCGAAGUCGUGCAUAAAUUCAGUCUCAAAAGAGAUUACAUGUGUAUGUGAGGAGAUUCUUUUUUCUAUCCCAUCUUUUUCCACAAGUGUUGCACAUAAGAUCCGUGACUGCGAUGGAAGAGAGAAGAUGAGAGAGAGAGAGAGAGAGAGAGAGAGAGAGAGAGAGAGAUUCAAGAUCUAGACAAUUGCAUUAUUAUUCCGAUGGUAUCCCGUACAAUAUAAUAGCGAUACUCUUUCUACCACUUUUCGAUUCCAUCAGGAGAAUCCAACUCGAGCCCGAAGUAACAAAGGACUCACGCUGGGCCAUUCGAAUUUUAGGCUGCAUUAUCUACACACGUGAAUUCUAUUUUUUCCCUUCGCGCGUUGUUAUGUCGAGAAAUCCCAACCAAUGGCUUCUAAACUGCGGGUUGAAACCGUACGGUCAACGGCCAUUUUCCCCCAAACUAGAUCGCAUUAGAACACGUGUAAAAGUGCCCUAUAUACAUCUUGUGCGUUUCCUCAUUUAAUAUUCAUUGAAGGCGAUUUUUCUUUGAUGUAUGUAUGCGUCGACUACCACGACUAGUCCUCGAAAUCCGAGAUACUCUUCAGCUCGAUAAAAUUCUAAUCGAGUCUCGAGCUCCUAGAACCGUUUCAGCAUCGAAGCUUUGUUUCAGGUUCGUCAUCGAACCUAAAUAUCUAAAGAAAUAUCUGCAGCAGGCGGCAUGUUAGCUCAAAUGCAAUUUUUGCUUGCCGCCGGUUUUACACUGGGAAAAAAAAAAAAAAAAAAAAUUGUUCAACGAAAAAAAAAAUUAUUUGACUUAACAAAAUGCUGCGGUCGGAUACGUUCAAAUAAAUGUCAAUGUAAUAAGAACUAAAUAUUUUGUUUAAUGGUUACGAUAUUUUUAAAUUUGGUCCAACCAAAUUUAGUUAUUGCAGACAAAAUAUUUAUUUAAUUCUACAGUAUAUUUAAUUGAAGAGAAAUUGUUGUUUUGAUGUUUUGAUGACUCAUAAAAUAGCAUUAAUUGAGAUAACAAAAAGAUGUGUGUGUCAAACAAAAAAUAAUGAAAGAACAACAAAAUCUAUGUUUAAAAUAAGGAUGUAGUUUUUUCGUUCGACUUCAUUAUAGUUGAAACCUAUAUAAAUCAAUAUUACCGCGAACGUUAUAUUUUUUCAUUUAACCAAGGAUAUAGUCAGAGUGACAAAACGUAGAGUAGGACGAACUUUAUGUUUAUUUAACACAACACAAUAUCCUUUUAAUGAAGUGAAAUAUUUUGUUUAUUUUGUAAUAAAUUAAAUUGAAUG
rnacentral:misc_RNA from 1 species